AUUGAACGCUGGCGGCAUGCUUUACACAUGCAAGUCGAACGGCAGCGCGGGCUUCGGCCUGGCGGCGAGUGGCGAACGGGUGAGUAAUACAUCGGAACGUGCCCAGUAGUGGGGGAUAGCUCGGCGAAAGCCGGAUUAAUACCGCAUACGACCUGAGGGUGAAAGCGGGGGAUCUUCGGACCUCGCGCUAUUGGAGCGGCCGAUGGCAGAUUAGCUAGUUGGUGGGGUAAAGGCCUACCAAGGCGACGAUCUGUAGCUGGUCUGAGAGGACGACCAGCCACACUGGGACUGAGACACGGCCCAGACUCCUACGGGAGGCAGCAGUGGGGAAGUUUGGACAAUGGGCGAGAGCCUGAUCCAGCAAUGCCGCGUGUGUGAUGAAGGCCUUCGGGUUGUAAAGCACUUUUGGCGGGAACGAAAAGGACUGUGCCAAUACCACGGUUCGAUGACGGUACCCGCAGAAUAAGCACCGGCUAACUACGUG
rnacentral:rRNA from 1 species